AGUCGUGGUCUUUGGGUUUUGAGCUUCCUGUCGGCCAUGUUGGUUUCCAUGGCAUGCCGGGAAAUGUAGUUUUUCACACUGCUGUUCAGCUUCCUAGCUGGGAAGGGCACGUUGCUCAGGGCACUUAUUUCCUCCCCGAGACGACGUGGGGUGCAUUUUUCUGCCGUUUUCAUUUGUGGUUUUCCACGCAGUUCGCACCGCUUCCGUUAUUGAGAAAACGGUUUGGGAAGCUGUGUCUGCCGUUCUCAGGAUGAGGGCGGUAGCGCCCUCUGCCACCACCUGCUGGCGAAAAAAAUCAGUAACGCAGGCGGAGCCAUGUAGGACUUCUCAGAGCAGUAGGUAAACCUUAGGAGGAACCAGUCAAAGGAAACAGCACUUUCUGGAACUGUCAAGUUCUUGUUCGGCAACUCGGUGACUGGUUUGAUCUACUUUUCAGAUGUACAGAGGCAAGUGGACUGCUGUUUUAAAAGGAUAAAAUGAAAUAUGGAGUCACUUCUGUUGUUGAGGGAUGGGUGCUAAUGCUGGCAGCUGAAUGUUUAUCUUCUGUGUUUUUCUUUGUUCAGGCGGAAACGCAGUGUGCGAUACAGAAUGUCAUGACCCGAGCUGCCUCUGGAGUGACUCUGGUGGGCGAUGAAGAGAUGCAGCAGUUGCUUUUGGGGUGCGGUUGUCACUGCAGUUACUUUACUACAUCAAAUAGAGUAAAAUUCCAGUUUGCCUUUUUGAGGUGCUGUAAGUGGCUAAAGAGAACAGAUGGAAGCAUCUGCUCUGUGGGGUAGGUAAGCUGCUGAGGUAAAGGAGGGGAUGAGAGUAACUGACCUACGGGUGCUGUGGCUUUUGCUGCUGUGGUUGCUUUCUCUUCUGUUUAUCAGGUGCCACAGGCAAGGUGGACUGUGAUAGUCUUUAGAAUAGGAGCAAAGCAGGUCACUUGAAUGCUGCGUGGUUCCUGAGAAAGGGGUUGUAGAGGAGAGAAGCUUUCAAUAUUCGAAGCUGAAGCAAAAGCCUGGGCAUUGUUGCUUCUAGAAACACCCCAGUUCUCUUGUCUGCCCUCUGCAUGGUGUUGAGCUGAAAACCAGAUGAAAAAAAAAUGGAAAACACAGCUGGUGCUUGUCCUGCUGUCUGUCUACUUUGUUGUUUUUUGCCCCUCCCCUUUCCCAGGUGAUUGGGUUUGGGUGGUGGGCGGGGCCAAAUGGUGUAUGAGCCCCAGGC